rnacentral:rRNA from 1 species
AUUGAACGCUGGCGGCAUGCCUUACACAUGCAAGUCGAACGGUAACAGGUCUUUGGAUGCUGACGAGUGGCGAACGGGUGAGUAAUACAUCGGAACGUGCCCGAUCGUGGGGGAUAACGAAGCGAAAGCUUUGCUAAUACCGCAUACGAUCUACGGAUGAAAGCAGGGGACCGCAAGGCCUUGCGCGAACGGAGCGGCCGAUGGCAGAUUCGGUAGUUGGUGGGAUAAAAGCUUACCAAGCCGACGAUCUGUAGCUGGUCUGAGAGGACGACCAGCCACACUGGGACUGAGACACGGCCCAGACUCCUACGGGAGGCAGCAGUGGGGAAUUUUGGACAAUGGGCGAAAGCCUGAUCCAGCCAUGCCGCGUGCAGGAUGAAGGCCUUCGGGUUGUAAACUGCUUUUGUACGGAACGAAAAGACUCUGGUUAAUACCUGGGGUCCAUGACGGUACCGUAAGAAUAAGCACCGGCUAACUACGUGCCAGCAGCCGCAGUAAUAC